rnacentral:SRP_RNA from 1 species
GCUGGGUGUGGUGGUGUGUACCUGUAAUCCCAGAUACUUGGGAGGCUGAGGUGGGAGGAUCGCUUGAACCCGGGAGGCGGAGGUUGCAGUGAGCUGAAAUCAUGCCACUGCACUCCAGCCUGGGCAACAGAGCAAGAUUCCACCUCAA